UACGUAGGGUGCAAGCGUUGUUCGGAAUCAUUGGGCGUAAAGCGCGUGUAGGCGGUUAAGUAAGUCGAGUGUGAAAGCCCUGGGCUCAACCCAGGAAGUGCAUCCGAAACUACUUAGCUAGAGAACGGUAGAGGAAGGUGGAAUUCCAAGUGUAGAGGUGAAAUUCGUAGAUAUUUGGAGGAAUACCGGUGGCGAAGGCGGCCUUCUGGACCGCUUCUGACGCUGAGACGCGAAAGCGUGGGUAGCAAACAGG
rnacentral:rRNA from 1 species